UAAAAAUUCUCCACGUUGUAUUCGUCUGAUAGCAAUUUUUCAAAGAUAGGGUUUGAAUAAAUACGUCUAUACUCCACUACCCAUACUACAUUAAUGAUUGUUAACUUUACAAAAUUAUGCCUAAUUCAAAAACUCCUUAUUAUAAUAUUAAUAAUAAAACUACUCAUCGCCAGCACUUUAAAAAGCCGUAUAAAAUUAGUGAGAAAUCAUUGUAUUGUCAAACAAAAUUUGCGGUUGGAUCAAUCAACAAUUCUUGGCUGUUAAUCUCAAAAUGAAUAAAGUUCAAACAUACAAACUG